rnacentral:rRNA from 1 species
GUAGGGAAUAUUGGGCAAUGGAGGCAACUCUGACCCAGCCAUGCCGCGUGCAGGAAGACGGUCCUCUGGAUUGUAAACUGCUUUUGAAUGGGAAGAAACGUAGCUUUGCGAAGCUAUUUGACGGUACUAUUAGAAUAAGCACCGGCUAACUCCGUGCCAGCAGCCGCGGUAAUACGGAGGGUGCAAGCGUUAUCCGGAUUUAUUGGGUUUAAAGGGUGCGUAGGCGGCUUUAUAAGUCUGGGGUUAAAGGCGGCAGCUUAACUGUACGCAUGCCCUGGAAACUGUGAAGCUUGAGUGACUUGGAGGUAGCUAGAAUUCCCUGUGUAGCGGUGAAAUGCAUAGAUACGGGGAGGAAUACCGAUUGCGAAGGCAUGUUACUACGAGUAAACUGACGCUGAUGCACGAAAGCGUGGGGAUCAAACAGGAUUAGAAACCCGGGUAGUCC